UACGUAGGGCGCAAGCGUUGUCCGGAAUUAUUGGGCGUAAAGAGCUUGUAGGCGGUUUGUCGCGUCUGCCGUGAAAAUCCGGGGCUCAACCCCGGACUUGCGGUGGGUACGGGCAGACUAGAGUGUGGUAGGGGAGACUGGAAUUCCUGGUGUAGCGGUGAAAUGCGCAGAUAUCAGGAGGAACACCGAUGGCGAAGGCAGGUCUCUGGGCCACUACCGACGCUGAGAAGCGAAAGCGUGGGGAGCGAACAGG
rnacentral:rRNA from 1 species